rnacentral:hammerhead_ribozyme from 1 species
AUUCAGCUGAAGAGUCAUAAAUAAGACGAAACACAUGUCAAAUUGAAU